CCUACGGGGGGCUGCAGUGGGGAAUAUUGGACAAUGGGGGGAACCCUGAUCCAGCCAUGCCGCGUGUGUGAAGAAGGCCCUCGGGUUGUAAAGCACUUUCAGUGAGGAAGAACGCCUGGUGGUUAAUACCCAUCAGGAAAGACAUCACUCACAGAAGAAGCACCGGCUAACUCCGUGCCAGCAGCCGCGGUAAUACGGAGGGUGCGAGCGUUAAUCGGAAUUACUGGGCGUAAAGCGCGCGUAGGUGGCUUGAUAAGCCGGUUGUGAAAGCCCCGGGCUCAACCUGGGAACGGCAUCCGGAACUGUCAAGCUAGAGUGCAGGAGAGGAAGGUAGAAUUCCCGGUGUAGCGGUGAAAUGCGUAGAGAUCGGGAGGAAUACCAGUGGCGAAGGCGGCCUUCUGGACUGACACUGACACUGAGGUGCGAAAGCGUGGGUAGCAAGCAGGAUUAGAUACCCCUGUAGUC
rnacentral:rRNA from 1 species